ensembl:lincRNA
ACCAUAAAAUGUAGUAAUAACAACAAGUAGUAGAAAUAAUAGGACAAUGUUUAUUAUACAGUAGACGUUUUAAAAUAAUGUAUUUUAGGACACCUGUUAGCUGCUCUUUGACAAGGAGUGCCCUACACAAAACAUUUGGCUUCAUACUAAAUGUAUUUGUCACUAGGCUGAGGGUGAUAUUUCACAGAGGCCGACAGAAAUCAAUAGAUAUGACGUAGCCAAGCAAAAUGGGCUCCCUGACUGCAGGGCAGCAUCAGAUACAUCACCAUGACAACAGAAGGCUUGUGUUUUUAAUUACUUUCUUCUCUAUUAAAACAAUAAAAAACAAAUAGUACUUCAGCAGCUUCAAGGAAAAAAAAACUUUAUUUAACCACAUACUGUAUUUAAACUCAGAAAAGAGACUAUUAGACAAUUAAAAUUGUUUCAAACUGCUUCACCAUUGAAUUAGAACAUACUGUAUAAAAAGUUACCAAUGAGGCCAUUUAGGCCCAUAUAGGGCAUUUGGUUGCCAGUAGCUAACUGAUCUGAAGAUCUCAUCCAGCUGUUUCCUGAAAGAAGCCAGGGUAUCAGCUUCAACAACAUGGCUGAGUAGCUUCUUCCACAUCUCAAUUUUUAGACUCUGUGAGGUCUCUUUCCAGGUUCUUCUCUCACCAUUUCCUUAGCAUAGGACGCCUGUGAGAGAGUGACACGCCGUAAGCUUCCUUUGGGACUCGCACUGCCUAUCAGCCCCCAGGCAGUGGCAGUUUAGGCCCAGUGCCCAGUCAGGGAAAGAGCACAACCUUCUACAGUACAUUUUUCCAGUUUCGUGUGAAUAGCAAGUGUAGUAAAGCUGGAGGGGAGCUGGCCUGGUCUGGCCAGUCUGGAGUGUGUGUUGCACUGGCACUGGGAAGCCCUGCUGGAUCCUGUUCUCACGCCAGGGUAGGUGCUCCAUGAAGAAGGACACAGGUCAGGGCUCCCGCUGCUUGUUAAACUACAGCUCUGUCCAAGAACACUCUGAUUCAGACUCCUCUGCUGGGUCUGCAAGGAUUUUUGCACGGGAAGACGGCGCGUGCCGAACGCUAGGACAGCUCUCGACGAGACACGAGACGCUGCGGUGGCCGCACGCAUCUGCUCCCACUCCCCCGUUCGAAACAGAUCGAGUGCGGAAGAGGUUAAGCAAAUCUCUACCAGUUUGCGUCAGUUUCACCUCUCAAGGGCAUCGGUUUUAUCAGCCGCUGUGAGUUCUAAAUUAUGUCUGCUCCACGUCGAACGCGCUACUGAGUUACGAGGCGUCUUGCUGCCAGUCUUUAAAUGGCAGCGGGACUGGGUGUAGUGGCAGGAGGCACCGGCUGGUGACCUAAUAUUUCCAGACUCUCCCCAUUCGUCAUUGUCUCUGCAAACCCGCGUCAUGACUCUGGACAUUCAUUUACACGCAAUGUGAAAUUUUCAGAAUCCUGCAAACAGUAGAGACGGAAUAAAAACAGAAAUUGUUUCUUCUGUUUGUUUGCUUAUUCCCUGUGCUAAUGUGUUGAUCAGAAUGUACUUUUGUGCGCAUGGCUGCAGUAUCAGAAACAACCAAUUUAGAAAGGGAAAACUGAAGUAUAACUGUCUAUUUCUCCUUCUGUGUGAUUAAGGUUUGCAUGUUCUGUAAAAGCAAAUACUGAAUUCAGGAAACACUGUCUGAAUUCUCUUAAGAAACGCAGUUUCUUGUCUAGGACUUGAAAAGACAAAUAGCAAAAUUCAUUUCAGGUUACAAAUCUAGAUGUUCCCAAGCUGUAAUUAUAAAAUAUAUUGCAGAAAAACAACUCAAUCUUUUCAUCUCUAAGCACAAAAGUGGAAACAUUCCAAAGCAAAACUGCAAUUUGCAACCUUUCCUCUAAGAAAGGUAAAUUAUUCCUAUGAGUUUACAAGGAAGUAGCUCACUAAGGUCUGAGUAUUUGUGAGCAGCUAACAUUUUCAGCUUUGAUUUAAAUAUAUUGUUGAAUUACCACAGAAUGAAAGCUCAGCCGCAGGAUGCACAAAAAUAAUGACAUAGGCUUUUGAAAAAUUGCAAAUAUUACCAGUUUUAAUUAAAAUCUUAUAUCCUCAUUGCUAUUAUUAUUUUCUGUGAGCCAAAUUGAGUUUUUUUAAUCAGUAGUAUAUGGACUUAGCAGAAAAAAGAAGAUUCUGAUGAGAUCUCAAAGACAAUAAUAUGAUAAAAUAUCUCUAUUAACCAGACAACGUUUAAAUAUUUAUGCACAGUGCAGCAAAAUGUAGUUAACUCUUUGUGUCUCAGUAAGUACCUGGUAAGAAAAGGCUGGGCUCCAGUUAGAGCUGCAGUUACCACAGAGCAGCACCAGCAGAUUCCUACACUCUGCCCUGGCAUCAGUACAGGGCAGAAGGUGAGUCAUCCACAGGUUAUUUUAAGAGAAGCAGGUGGUGUCAGAAUGAGGACUUUUUCUUUGCUGACCAGCUGUUUCUAAAUAAGAAACAAUAAGUCAGAAAGCAGAAACAUGUCAUGCAAGCAACCCCAACCAGAAAUUACAGAUGAGAUUCCAUCGGACUGGAAUCCCACCUUUCUGGGCCACAGGCGGUUAUCUGAUAGCGGUGCAGAAUACAGAGCAGAGAUGUCAGCAGCUCCCAUAUGGUUUACAAGGGCUCAUGAUAUCCUGUUUUGACACCAAGAAUGGAUAUAGGAUCUUCUGGAAGUCAGGAUUUGAUAUUUUGAACAUGCAUUAAUUCCAAUUUACAGUAUACAUGUAUCCAUCUUUAAAUUGCUUAAAAUGUAUUAAAAUACCAUCAAUAGUUCAAAAUAAAUAGAAAAACAUGUUUUCUGAAGAUGAAUGUCAAUCAGUUAGUAACAUACUCAAAUACUCGGGGUAUUCCAAGGAGAUUCAUGAAGAUAGGCAUAAGAGAAAAGACAGUUUGGUGUACCUGGUCUUUUGACGAGUACUCAGUUUAUUUGAUACUGACUGACACAAAUUUAAUUUGAAUGAAAGGGUAUGGAGGAAAUGAAUAAUUCCAGGAAGAUCAAUAACUGUUCAUAGUAGCACAGAAGAAGAAGAUUGGGAAUCUUUACUCACAGCUCUGAAACUCUGGCCUUCACUGGUCUCACUCAUCCUUUUGCCAUUACAAGACAUCAGAUAUAAGAUGAAAGAUCUACAAACAAGUAUUUAAGAUGCUAUUAAGGCACUAGCAAACCUCUUACAUUAAUGUGCAAUGCCAGAAAUAUACAACAUAUACGUCAUAAGAUUUUGGAGGGGAUGAGUGUUUUAUUACAGGACAUUGCCUUGGCUUUCAGAACAUCUGGUAACUUCAAACAAAAGGCUGAUUUCCAUGGGAGCCCAGAGGUUUGAUCUGUGGUUAGCAUACUGUGUUUGUAUUUGGACUGCUUUAAGAGCAUUGAGAACUGUUGAGAAUUGAGAAUUUCUGCUGUACAAACAUUUAUCUGUGACUCCUGGCGAUAAAUUAUCAGUCUUGCUGGAGCUUCUACACAGAUAUUGCAAACACAAUCUUCUUCAUGUUCUGUCACAUGUUGCUUAAGCUUUCUAAGCACAAGACAUGUUUACACUGAUGUUCAUUGUGUGUGCCUUGUAA